rnacentral:snRNA from 1 species
AUGUUAUGUCUGCUACAUUUUUGAUAAAAUUGGAACGAUACAGAGAUGAUAAUAAGUAGUAAUAUAGAUCCUGUAGAAAGAGGACAGGCAUAAAGAAAGGCACAAAUUUUUA